rnacentral:rRNA from 1 species
AGCCAUGCAUGUGUAAGUAUAAAUAUUUGACUUUGAAACUGCGAAUGGCUCAUUAUAUCAGUUAUAGUUUAUUUGAUGAAAAGUACUACUUGGAUAACCGUAGUAAUUCUAGAGCUAAUACAUGACAAAAUCCUCGACUUUGAAGAGGUGUAUUUAUUAGAAUGAAACCAAGAGACUUCGGUCUAUUUGUGAGUAAUAAUAACUAAUCGUAUCGCAUGCUUAGGUAGCGAUAUGUCUUUCAAGUUUCUGCCCUAUCAGCUUUGGAUGGUAGUGUAUUGGACUACCAUGGCAGUAACGGGUAACGAAGAAUUUGGGUUCGAUUUCGGAGAGGGAGCCUGAGAGAUGGCUACCACAUCCAAGGAAGGCAGCAGGCGCGUAAAUUACCCAAUCCUGACAUAGGGAGGUAGUGACAAUAAAUCACAAUGCGGAACUAUUAGUUUUGCAAUUGGAUUGAGAACAAUGUACAAAUGUUAUCGAUAAACAAUUGGAGGGCAAGUCUGGUGCCAGCAGCCGCGGUAAUUCCAGCUCCAAUAGCGUAUAUUAACGUUGUUGCAGUAAAA